AGAAGAAACAGUAUUUUAUGUUUGAAAGUCUAGCUAUCUUGUCCACACUUAAUUUCUUCCCUUUCCUUCUUAACAUCCUUGAAUAUUCUGACUCUCUCUCCCCUCGCCUCUUCCUCCUUCCCCUCUCCUUUCCUUCCCUCCCCUUUCUUUCCUGUCUUGCCUUCUACUUUAUCCAAGAUUCCUCCUUUUUCUGGAACAUGCUACCACGAACUACUUCUUGAUUAUUUUAUUGAGUUGCAUUUAUGUUUUAAGGUAGUCUUAGGGACCUGGGUUUGUGUAGGGGUAUCUCUAGGACCUAACUAAGAUGUCUAUAAGGCCUUCCUACCUCCAUGUAUAUUUGUAACUCAGGAUGUAGAAUGGGGAGAUAGUUUAGUUCAACAGUUCUCAACCUGUGGGGCACAACCCCUUUAGAGUCAAACGAAUCUUUCACAGGGGUCACAUGUCAGCUAUCCUGCAUAUCAGAUAUUUACAUUAUGAUUAAUAACAGUAAUUACAGUUAUGAAGUAGCAAUGAAGAUAAUUUUACAGUUGGAGUCACCAUAAUGUGAAGAACUGUAUUAAAGGAUCGCAGCAUUAGGAAGGUUGAAACACUGGCUUAGUUGGUAAAGUGCUUUCCUUGCAUUUUCAAUUCUCAGAACCAGUGUUAAAAAAAAUGAAAGAAAGAACGAAAAAGCUGGACACGGUAGCAUAAGAUUCCUUUGAUCAGUGGGAUCCUGGGAUUUUUUUAUUUUUAUUUUUUAAUGCUCUAGACAUUUGAACUGUGAUGCUUUACAUCUUAGAAACUUGUUAGUUCCAAACUAGCCUGUUGUAAGUUGUUUUUAAUAUUUACAAUUGAUAUAUCUUCUGGCAAAGCUGCUGUUAAUCCUAAAUAGCUGUAUAACCAAAUCACCACACAGUAACUGGGUUUAUUUAGUUAACCUAGAACACAAUGCUGGGAAAUAGUUACUCCCUCUUAAACCUCCAAGCCCUCAUAGUUUCCUAACAUUUAGAUUUUGCCCAUUAUACUUGCUUUUAGUGAUAUAUUAGGUCUAGUCCAUCUCUCCAUGUCAUUCUAAGACCUCUCCUCCAGCUUUCUCUCCUAGCUUUCCUCUCAUCCCUUCUCCUCCCACUCAUUUCCUGCCCUCUGGCUCCUCCCCUCUUUCCUGUCCUCUGGCUCCUCCCUUUGCACAACAUUGUGGCUAGUUGUUUUUUUUUUUUUUUUUUUUUUUUUCAAUGCAGUUUAUUCAGGAACAUCGAACAAUCCUCGGACCCUGGGGAAAGCCAGCCCACAGCUUAAAUAGCCUCUGGGUAGCCAACCCAGGCAUGCCACGGGGGCAAUGCAGAUAGGUCCACAUACAUGGAAGCAAGCCAGAUCCUCCGCCUUAGCCAAACGUGGAGUUGUUCCUGACAGAGAGCACUCACCAUCGGGAAGGUGGAAGGCGGAAACCAGCUCCAUCUUUAAGGCAUAGCAUUAUUUUGGCCUGUUUACACACAGUUGAGACAGGAUGCUCAGAAGCCUGUGCUGUUGGUGUUCAAUCCCCAUGCUGAAAGGCAAAGAGAAUGGACAUCAGAAGAAGAAGAAAACAGGAAACAAACUAGGAACCUGGUACAGAGGGCCUCUGAAAGCCAGAAGAAGAAAACAGGAAACAACCUCGGAACCUUCGACAGAGGGCCUCUGAAAGCCUCUGCCCUACAGACUAUCAAAGCAGAUGCUGAGCCUGAUGGGCAACUGUUGGGUAGAGUGAAUGGAAUUUUAGCGCUACCCCAUCCAAGAUGUCUACUUCAGCACAUAACGAAGAGGGUGUCAAACAUCUAGAAGGUUUAUAAUGAAAUUGAAAUGUAUCCUCAACCUGAAUUUACAAACUCACAGGAAGUCCUGCUGUAUGGAAUAGCAAGCAGGCCUUCGUUCCCUGGCCUGAAUUUCCUCAGUGAUGGACCAUGACCCAGGAUUAAUCUCCUGUCUUAUGAACAGCCUCCACCAUACACUUUCAUUGAUAUGCACUGAGCUUCUCCAUCAUGCUUUCGAUCUGCCACGAUGGAAUGACAUCUGAAAGUAUGUGUGUCUCUCCAACAACAGGGCACAGACAUUUUGUCUUUGCAUCCAAACAGCACACAACUGAAGCUGUAGGAGCCCUCUCUGCUUGGGAACAGAAAUGCUGCAGCAUUUCUGACAUCAGCUAAUGCCUUCAUUGCCUCUCUAUAUAACACAAAUGAGGUAUUGCAAGCUCAUUACCUUCUUAGGGAUUAGAGUUUUCUCCAGAAGAACAUGACUAAAGUGCAUCAAUGGUCAAGAUGCAGAAACCAUGGAGAGUAUCCUUCAGCCGCCAGCAUGCCCUGUGGUUCAUCCCCACUCCACAGCCUGACUUUAAUUCCUUCCUCUUCACAGCAUUUCAGCACCCGGUGCAUGGAAAACAGCCCAAGCUGGAGUUUCUGCCGAGUUACAGCUCCGCCUUGACAAGGGAGACUACUGGUUACUGUGGAUCACCGCUGGAUACCACGUGGGGCAGAUGCAGAAACCAUGGAGAGUAUCCUUCAGCCGCCAGCAUGCCCUGUGGUUCAUCCCCACUCCACAGCCUGACUUUAAUUCCUUCCUCUUCACAGCAUUUCAGCACCUGGUGCAUGGAAAACAGCCCAAGCUGGAGUUUCCGGAGGGCCCAGGCAUUUAAACAAAAUGAAACAAAACACAACAAUAACAACAACAAAACCCCAGCUUUCUUGAGCUUGUACAACUGGGGAAGGGGCCGCUUCUCCCAACUCAAGCUCCAUCUGGUCUAGCUAACCUGUGCUUUUCAAGACCAUCUCUCAAGCUCUGAGAAGUCUCAGCCCCACUAGCCAGCUUCCUGGGUGUUAAGUGAGGGCCUGAAAGCAAACACCUCCGUCCCUCCAGUACAGCAGGAGGCGUCCCAGGAAGUUGAUGAAUUAUUCAGUAGGCCUAACAGAGCAGUCACAAGGGAGCAUUGCUGGCAUGCAAUUAAGUGGUGCUUUAAUUUGAGAAAUGUUUAGUAGGUUGCGGCCUACAACAGCCACUCCUUUCUUUGUGAACAACAAUUUGAUGUGAAAUAGGGAGCAGAAAACUCACUGUGUUUUGUAGCAAAGUAGCUGGCUCCAAGAACAGCUUCCCUUUGCUGUUCCCUGGCUCUGCCUUGCAUUCUUACAAUCUCAGUUGACUUCAAAUGCAGCAACAAUGGGUGACUUAUGUCUCCACUGAGAUAGAAUUUAAUAACCACCUUUGGCACAUCUCUUACUGAAUAGUCACAAUAAUGUCACAGUGCUGUAAAUCUCCUCCACAGGAUAUCUCCCCAGUCAGUUUUAUUGAUGGCUUUAUGCUGAUUGGUUCAGAUGAGUAGGAAGCCACAACUCUGUUUAGACAUGUUGGAAAGACAUGUGUCUGCCAGAGACUGGGAAAAUAAAUUCCACCAAAAAUUGGGAGCCUUCCACCAGACUGAAAUUUCUGUCUGUGGUCUGAAGCAUGCCAAGAGACUCCUGCCAAGGUAAAGGAAAAAUGCUUGCAUGUGACUAAGAAAGAGAGAGCUUGGACCUCUUUAUUUCCAAGGCAUUGAUGGGCCUUGUUUGAAUGUGCCAUGCCACCAAAGUGAGACUACAAAGUACUAGACUUUUAGGAAAACCAGAGUAAGAGAUGGCUCUGCAGCAGGUUUGGGUUGCCUUGAAGUCUGGAUUGCUUAUGAAACUGCAGUGUCACUCACAGCGGGAUCCCCAUGGCCUCAAACAUCAUCCAGCAUGAAUUAAGCAUAGAAACAAGCACUUCCCAAGGGAAUGGAUGGUGGUGAUUUGGGGUCUGAGUUGUUCAACAUCCCAUUCAGUAAACCAAAGAGCUAGAAACAAA